GGGGCCGUAGUCUAGCCAGGGAUGACGACGGGCUCCAGACCCGUAGGUCGUCGGUUCAACUCCGACCGGCCCCACCA
rnacentral:tRNA from 1 species